CCCCUCUCAGAAUCGCACCUGGAGAGUUUCCAGUGCUCUACAAGUCUUGGCUUUGGGAGGGAGAGUCAAUCAGAGGCAUACCCUUUCCAUUCCUAGCUUGGGCAGUGGCUAGAGAGUGGAAGGUAAUCUACUACAAGU